rnacentral:misc_RNA from 1 species
ACGUCUCCUACCUUCCCUCUUUUUCAGAAUUUUGAAUUUAAGAUUGGUCUUCACAACUACUAAGUUAUGAUCGCUACCUAUAUCUGCUCCCGGAUAACUCCUACAGCCCUUCACUUGUUUUUUGCAUAUUUGCCUAACAAGUAUAUAAUCUAACUGGUAUCUCCUUAAAUCACCUGGCAUCUUCCACGUAUAGCGCCUCCUAACGUGAUGUUUUAAUAAUGUGAAUAUAUUUCCUUUGUUUACCACCACCGCCAAAUUCCUUAAAUUAAGCGGGAUGGAAAAAAACCCAAACAGGGUGGUUUGUGUUGGACUGCCCUUGACCUUCGGUUAGAGGUUAUUAUGUUAGUCACGUAUUUUCGAAUCAAUGUAGAUAACUUGGGCCAAGUAAUAUCGACACGAAACUUUAUUUCUAUCUAUUGUUCGCAAAUUGUUUGUGGAUCUAUUGUGCACGCACGUGCGCAUGUAUUGGGUUUUCAAAUUUAGAUGACUCACAGAAAUCCCAACACUCCCCAAACGGUUCGAUACCACGGAACACUUAUCAUUGUGUUUUUUUUUCGUGGUUCGAAACCUUCAAUAGGGAGGAUGGAUAGUUUGUUCGUUACUUCCAUCUCAAAGGUGGGAGAUUGUCCUCUCUCAGAAGUACCAACUGUGCUCGUUCCAACCGCGGCCCUGUUGAUAUUUUCCAUUUAGAUCUCUGAUGAAGUUGACCCAAAUAUUCCCUUGAUCAACUACUCCAGAAAUGUUGCUCUACUUGGAAGAUGCGUUGCCGUCGGGAUAGACGUGUUGUCGGAAUGAAUUUAAAAUUAAUUUUCGGAACAGAAGUCAUGGACUCUCCAAUCAGGAAAUGACCGGGAGUAAGGAAGGAUAGAUCAUUAUGAUCAUUAGAAAUGGGGUUAACGGACGUGAAUUUAAAAUGGCUUCAACUUCAGUCAAUAGUGCAUUUAGCUCUUCGAAAGUGAAUGAGGCAUCGCCAGGGAUUUAAUUGCGAUUUCCCAUAAGCCACCAAAAUGUGGUGACCGACCUGGUAACAUAGUUAGAAUGAAGUCGUCCUUAGUUUCUACUGUUAUGAGGAGUUCCGUUAUGGCCAAGAUGAUUUUCAUUUUCAGUUUCUAAUAAAUCGUCUGCAACAAAAGAAAUUGGUUUUAUUUUUCUUUUUGGUUGUUAUGAUUCUAGUGGGUGUUUCGACCAAUUUUGUUUGUUUCCUAUAGGUAGGGUUGACUUUACUCUUAUUUGGAUCUUCUCGUUUUGCAAACCGCAUUCCGAUGAUGAUUGGGAGGCGAAGAACUUCUGUAGGAGGAUGCGGGAUAAGAGGGGAGAAGUUGUAUGAUAUAGGUGGAGUCGUUACGACGGUUGUGGCGUUAUCCGUUGUCACAACCACCACGACUGUGGCACCGGGUAAGAACAAGCUGGGAUCUGCAAAAAAGUGUGGAGGCGACGUCCCGACGUGGAGCGGUUUGGUUGUUUCUCGUGUAUUCAUUGUCCUUUCGCCAUUCAGACAAACAACCAACACAAUGGUAUCCAUCACCCGGUUGCGAUGCAACAUCUGUCGACGUCUUCGUGAAAGCUGUGACGUUGCAACAGGACUAUGUUAAGAAUGUCUUGAUUACACACCUCUAUUUUUCUGUCACAGCUGCAGAAUGUAUCACGACGAUGUUGUAAUCUGCUUCUGUCGACCUCGUCAGGGGAUUCACUCAUACCUCUGCGUCUACUUUAUCAGAUCGACGAUACACACACACUUUCCUGUCUAUUCUGUACAACUGUAGAGGAAAGGCGUCAGCUCUUUCGAUCCAUUUUGCUGACUCUAGCUUUCCACUAAGUUUUUAUUUCAUUACAUAAGUUAAUUAGUUCUUCUGAGUUUUUCUACUUCUUUUCUUCGUGCUAUUUAGUAAGUUUACGCAUACAUUGUUAUAAUCGUUAUUGUUAUUUUUUGUGGUUGUUUUGUUCCUGUUAUUGUAAAUAGUUUCUCCAUCUUUUCUUGUGAUUAUUAAAAGUCAUAAAACAAAUUCUG